rnacentral:lncRNA from 1 species
GAAAUACACCGUUUGCUGAAGAGCAGGGCUGGGCACUGGUUUCUCUGCGUUCUGAAUUUCUAGAAAGGGGGGCGGCUCCACUGUGCUUCUGAUGACCCGGCCGCCGCCGCCGCCCUGCAACCGCUCCCCGGGACCCCUCAACGCUGACACUGAUGACCCGCGGCGGGGGCGCUGGGCGCGGGGUGCGCAGGCCACUGGCCGCGGGCUCUCGGGCCCGCUCCUGCCGCCGGCUUCUGCUGCUUCCGCGGUAAUGACACUCGGCGGAGCGGCCGCCAUCUCUUCUGGUACUUUCACUGGAGGAGGGAAGGGUGGGGAGAGCCCUCUGUCCACCCCUGCCCUGCCCUGGCGCUGGUCCGCCACUGCCCGCUGCUCUCGCGCUGGUCCGCAGCUCAGCCGAGCAGCUCCCUUCAUCUGGCCUCCCAGACCCUCACUCAGCCGCGAGAGGAGGAGCUCCGGCGACCUCGGGCCUUCCCUUAGGGUCUGCGCGGCCCUUACCCCAAACCCGCCCAAGGUAGAGGCGUGAAGGGGCCGGCGGCGAUGCAGAGGCGGGAAGCGCAUUGGGGAGGCGAGGCUGGAGAAGGGGACGCAGGGAGGCGGGGGGUGGACCCCCAGCAUACUCCAGGAGCCGGCAGGAGCCAAACCCCAGCCCUCCACACAGGUAUUCCUGCGGACCACGAGGUGCCACCCGUCCCUGGUCGCAGAAAAGACGAAGGGAAGGCCCAGCUUCCCUACCUCUACCUCCCAUGCCGGGCGCCCAGCCUGCUCAACUGAACCCCAAGCCGCAGGUUAACCCUGCUCCAGCUUCUCCCCUUGGCUAUGGGCAAACUCCUUUUCUCUUUCCCAUUGAGAACCACCGCUCAAAUUCGGAGGGCUUUCCUCCUUGGUGCUCAGAGCUCCCAAGAUGGGUGAUUCUCUGCCAGGGGUCCUUAGCUACCCACUUUGGACAAGGAUGGACAGAUGUUUUCUCAAGCUUGCCUAAAGCACAGCUUCUAAACAGAUGAGCCCUCCCCACGUUCCCCGCAGAUUGUCUGGCCUUCGAGGAAAUAAAGAUGACCGUAGCCAAGCUGCCCUGCUCCGCACAAAGGACCCUGGGCGCCCCAUCCUUAACUCCCCUGCCUUAUGCUUGAGAUUAGCAUAUCCACCCAGCAACUCCUCUGCUCCAGACUUAACUUGACCACUGCAGUCCACACCGACUCUCCUAUCCACCAGAACUGUGCACUUAAAAUCUGCUGCACACAAUCCCAUACUUGCUUGAGUCUGGCUUUGUUCUCCAAUAGUUUCAAAUGCCUGUUUGACUCCCCCCGCCACCCCCACAGAGAUAAGGUCAUCACAAGCAGUAACUACUGCUUUGCUUGUUUUGAUUCCCACAGAGCCGAGCAUAGAUUGAUGUGGCAUAAGUGCUCAAUAAAUGCCCAUGGACUUGGCUAAUGGAUGGACUUGCAGGGGACACUGCCCCAUCAGGAGAGAAAGUGCCGUGGACACUGCCAGAAUUUGUCAAAGGUCCUAGGAAGAAAAGGCUCUUUCACCCCUCCCCUCAAUGAACAGAUGGCGUGUUUGGACUGUUCGCAUUCGCUCCUCAUAGGUGGGAUCCUGGAGGAAGUUAAGGGGUGCUCCGUUCCCUGGGGAUGGGACAGCAGCUCGCCUUUUUACUAAUAGCUAUAAGGGACUGUCAGACAUUUACCUGACUAGACCUUCACCUCAGAGCUCAGAAGGGGAACAGCUCCAGAACUAAAAGAGAGAGCCUCUGGCAGACCCCAAAAGACAGCAUGUGGAGUGAAGCUGGGCUUCCCUGCCCAAUCACUAGGAUCAUUUAUUGCACAAAUACCUGUAUUUUAAGCUGCAGAUUAUUGUGAAUUUUUGUAUUUUCUUCAUUUCCAUUUAGCUUUUUUUCAAUUUUAGAAUAGCCUUUCUCUAGAUAACUCGAGGAAGUGGGAGACGGAAUUUCCUUUGUUUCUGUCUUGAGCCCAAAGGGACAAUUGAGUGUCAGGUAUGACAGGGAUAAAGGGAGAAACUCAGAAAUAAUGCUUUUGUUUUGUUUUGUUUUGUUUUGAGAUGGAGUCUCGCUCUUGUCGCCCAGGCUGGAGUGCAAUGGCAUGAUCUUGGCUCACUGCAAACUCCACCUCCUGGGUUCAAGCGAUUCUCCUCCUCAGCCUCCCAAGUAGAUGGGCUUACAGGCAAGCGCCAUCACGCCCGGCUAAUUUUGUAUUUUUAGUAGAGAUGGGGUUUCACCAUAUUGGUCAGUCCGGUCUUGAACUCCUGACCUUGUGAUCCACCCACCUUGGCCUCUCAAAGUGCUGGGAUUACAGGCAUGAGCCACCGCACCCAGCCAGAGGAAUGUUUUGGGUGCUACACGUGCAGCCCCUCAUGACUGUAUCUCCUCAGAGCUCUUUUCUUCACAUUCCUGAGUGCUUUGUGUUUUGUUUAUUUAAGGGACAAAUGAAUCUCUUCCCACGCCAUGGGAUUUCCCUUGAUUUUUAUAUUGGGAGUGAAAAGAUGAAGCAUGAGACUCUUCAGCUGCAUCUCGAACUGCAUCUAAUCCCAGCACAUCUCUCUCAAUCUUUGAUUAAGUCUGUUCAUCUAAAAGAGAGACACAGGGGAAAAAUGGAAAUGGGACUUUGGAAGAAUGACCAUCCACAUUCCCAUCACAGCCUGAGAUUUCCUACCUGAUUGAGAUUUUCAGUAGAUGGCCCUAGGUCUAGUUUCCCACUUUGGACCUGCUGCCCUUGGCUCCAAUAGAGGACUUCCAAGUAACUAGGAAGAUUUCACCUCUCUUUUGAAACAUAAUGGACAAAUGUGUUUCUUUAGGAUGAGAGGUGCACCUGGCUAGUCAAUCUUUAUUUUCCUAAAAUAAACAGGAUGAAAACUCAAAACAAAAAGAAAUACCUCAUGGGCAAAAGCUCUCCCAAUACAACUAAUACAGACACUCAACAUGGCUUUGUAGAAACUGACCCCUCUCCCAAGUCUUAUGUUUGUCAGAAUUGCAUGCCUAUUUCAAUCGAAGAAAAGUGAUCUGAUCUCUUCAGAUGAAGGUGGGACUUGGAGAUGCUGCUGCCUAGAGUUAACUUGCCAGAGAAAGGAUAAGCAUUCGGGAAGUGCCAGGAUGGGGUAUCAGCUGAACAAUGGCAGGAUCCCUUCUGCCAGUGGGCUGGCUCAGGGAGUAAACCUCCCCGGAAGGAAUUUUGUUUCUCUCUAGAAUCAAAGUGGGCAAAAUGAUCACCUUAUUCGCCUGGAGUGAACCAGGUUGAAACUGAGAAGGCAGACAUGGGUGAUAAGCCAGAUGAAGUCAUAUGUUAUAACUAAGCUAUGUACCUGUAACUUGCCUGGUAGUUUUUUCAUUCUCUCUAAACAGGUCAUAAUAAGUGUUAGUCUGUGAUCCACUAUGGAGAGAGAUUUCUGGAAAGAAUAGAGGCAGUGGUAGAGGGUCCAAGGUUGUUAUUUAAGGAGAUGAAUGUGGGUCAGGUGCCGUGGCUCACACCUGUAAUCCCAGCAUUUUGGGAGGCAGAGGCAGGAGGAUUGCUUAAGGCCAGAGUUCAAGACCAAACUGGCCAAUAUAGUGAGAUCCCCCCCCCAUCUCUACAAAAGAUAGAAAAACUUAGCCAGGCAUGGUGGCAGGUGCUAUAGUCCCUGCCACCAUGGGACUACAGCUCCUGCAGUCCCAGCUACUCAGGAGUUGAGGCGGAAGGAUUGCUUGAGCCCAGAAGUUCGAGGUUGCAGUGAGCCAUGAUCAUGCCACUGCACUCCUCCGUGGGUGACAGAGCGAGACCUGACUCAAUAAUAAUAAUAUUAAUAAUAAUGAUAAUGCAACACAAACUAUCUUUUACCUCUUGAACAAUGAAUGCAGAUGCCAUGACUACAUCUGUUUGUUGGGGACCAGGGAGGCUGCCAGUGAGGAUUCAGGGUGGAAGUAGUGUGUACCCAAUACCUAUUGUGAGAUGUGGCCUGGGGAGCCCUGAGAUUGCCUGGCCAGGCUCACUCACUACCCAGACACCCUCUUCCUGCAUGGCGAGUCCCUCAGCCCCUCCAAGGCUCAAUUCUCAGACAUCGGAGUAAUCCACAUCCUCCAUCUUGAGUUACUCCUCACAAGGCCUGCAAGUUUUCCUAGGAGGAAGGGAAGACAGGGUUGAACCCACACAAUUCUAGAAUCUAGAAUUUGGAGGAUUUCUAAACCAUUUCUGUAAGUCAGCCCUUGAGAACUUGUAGAUUUUCUCAUCAUUUGCAGCAUGAGAGUCUGGAGUAGACUGUUUGGAUUUGACUCUUGGUUCCUUGGGCAAGUUACUUAACCUCUCAGCUGUGUGUCAGUUUCCUUAUCUAAAAAGUGUGGUUAAUAAUAACUGACCUCUCAGAGGUAUUGUGAGGUUACUGUGAUGAUUAAAUUAGUUGAUUCAUAUAAAAUGUUUAAAAGAGUGCCUGGCAUUAUUAUUAAUAGUAAUAAGUUUAGCAUAAGUCUUGCCUGCCAAUAAGGAGCUGGAUUGAAUGACUACUUUGAUUCUAUUUCUUGGCCUUCUCUUCUCUGGACUAGGUGACCCCAACUUUCUCCUUACUCCUGAAAAAUUUAUCCCAGUCUGCUAAGGAAGAGAAAGCCCAUGUGUGCACAUACACACAUGCACCUACACAAACAUUUACAUACAGUUUUGCUCUUCUAUACAGAGUUAAUAGAGCUACUAGAGUGUCUAGGAACCAAUCUGAAAGAGAAAGGAAACACUGCUUUUUUUUUGUUUGUUUUUUGAGAUGGAGUCUCACUCUGUCACCAGGCUGGAGUGCAGUGGCGCAAUUGUGGCUCACUGCAAACUCCACUUCCCUAGUUCAAAUGAUUCUCCUGCCUCAGCCUCCCGAGUAGCUGGGACUACAGGCGUGCAUCACCACACCCAGCUAAUUUUUGUAUUUUUAGUAGAGAUGGGGUUUCACCAUGUUGGCUAGGAUGGUCUUGAUCUCUUGACCUCGUGAUCUGCCUGCCUCAGCCUCUCAAAGAGCUGGGAUUACAGGCAUGAGUCACCACGCCCGGCCGAAACACUGCUUAUUACAAUUUAUAGGUUUAUGUUCAAAAAGUUGCUAAUCUUAUUGCUGUGAACCCCUGCCAUCUCUAGUCCUGCCCACCUAUAGGUACUGCAGACCAAAUUACAGAUUCAGAUUUGCCCAGUUCCUGUUCCUGUCUUGACCAAUCCUAGUAACUUAUUUGGGGCCCAGCCCCAUCUUCAGUGGAAGGUCUAAAAUUGGCCUUGCUUCCUUAAGCUGGGUACACAGUGGGCCCAGGACUAAGCCUCAUGAAGCUUUUAGAGGCCCACUGAGAUUAACCUUUCUCACCAGUGCUCACCUUGUCUUCCUAGUGACCAUGGCUGCCUUCUGUCUAGUUCUAGAGUUGCACUCUAAUUCUCUUCCAGCGCUGUUGCCCUGAUCUACAUAUCUAUCUCUUUUAGAACUUUCCAGCUUAUGUGUCCAAUGUCAGUCUUUCUUCCAAAUAAAUAGAACUUUAUCUUGAUGAAUAUUUAAUGUUCAACCCACCCCUGGUCCCUGGCUAGAAUCAUCUCUGAAAUGUCUAAAGCUCUGCCACUACCUGCACCAGGAGAAGCAAUGUGUCACCACCAACCUAAUAGCAACCAUCAGCUUUGCUGGAGUUAUCCAUUCACCGAACUGAAUCUAUCAGCUUUCCUGAGUUCACUGGGACACUGAUUUGGACCGGACACCAUCACUUGAGAAACAGCGUUAGCACCAGGGUGAACACCACCAGUACCCGACCUGCCUGUAGUUAGCUUCCUCCUCUUUCCCUAUUGACCCACAGAUUAAGUUGCUGCAUGCCCUGGGGCAACACCUGGGGGUAUGACAACUGAAAACUAAGAAACUAAGUACUAUACAUCCAAUUUGUCUGUGUUCACUGCCCACUUGACGUUUCUACUAGGAUGCUUGCAAGAUGCAUCAAACUCCGUAGUCCAAGAUCAUACUCAUGAUCUUUUGCCCAAAACCAUACCCCGCUUCCAUUCUGAUACUCCUCUAAUCAGUUUUCCACACUGCAACCCAAGUGAUCUUUUCAAAAUGCAAAUCUGUUCAUCACACACAUACACACUUAAAACCCUUCAUUGGCUCCUCUUCGUCCUCAGGAGAAAGGCUCAUAUCCUUAACACAGGCUCCCCGUCCUGCGUGUUUGGCCCUGGAUGCCUUUCCAGCCUUCCCUGGCCUCACUCUCCCUCUCCCCUGAUAUACUGCAGCCACCAGGGUCAUGUUAGCACGUGGGUCACUCUGCAGAGAAUUAGAUAAAGGUGCCCCUUCUGGACAGCCCAGUUGGAAAAAUGAUGCCCUUUCCUCUAAGCUGAUGCAGUGUCUCAUGGGCGAUCUCACUUGGCAAGAAAAGCAGGGCUGGAUUUCAGCUCCUACUCUGCUUCCUCAGCCCAGCUGUGCCCCCCUGGUCCACAGCACAGCCUGUGCUGGCCAAACCAGUUGCCUGCCUUCUUUUGGGUACCCCCAAAUACACCAUGUUCCCUCCUCCCACUGGCUUUUGCUCUUACUAUUUGCUCAACCUGGGAUACUCUUCCUCUCUCUUUCUAUCCAGCAAUCCCCUACUUAACCCUCAGAUCCCACCCAACCCUUACAUCCUCAGGAAAGCCUUCCCGAUCUCUCCUUCUUUCCAACCAGUUUAAGUUCCUUUGUAAUACCCUCUCAUCAGACAGGGCUUCCAUUUCUCCUAAUACUGAUCCAUUUUGGAAGCUUACACUCAUUUGUAGAACGAAUGUCUGACACCCUCAUUGUAUUACAAGCUCCAUUAGUGCAGAGACCAUGUCCUUUUCAUCUCUCUCCAUUGUAGUCCCAGAACUUAACACAGGGUCAGGCACAUAAUAGUUGAUCAUUAAAUAUUCAUUAAGCACCUACUGAGUGCAGGCUGCUCUUUAGUAGAUGGUAGUGUCUGGACUUUAUAAUCAGAACAACUUAAGCUUCCCAGAGGCAUGAUUAAGCACGUCAAAGAGGAAAAUAUUCUGUUCCACUUAAUUAUGCAUUUUUAUUUAAAAAUAGAAGUCUUUAUUAAAACAAC